UAACAUGAGGAAAGCUUGCUUUCCUUGAUGACGACUGGCGCACGGGUGAGUAACGCGUAUCCAACCUUCCCAUAACUACGGGAUAACCCGUUGAAAGACGGCCUAAUACCGUAUGAUAUCGUUUGCUGACAUCAAAUAACGAUUAAAGGUUUAGCGGUUAUGGAUGGGGAUGCGUCUGAUUAGCUUGUUGGCGGGGUAACGGCCCACCAAGGCUACGAUCAGUAGGGGUUCUGAGAGGAAGGUCCCCCACAUUGGAACUGAGACACGGUCCAAACUCCUACGGGAGGCAGCAGUGAGGAAUAUUGGUCAAUGGGCGAGAGCCUGAACCAGCCAAGUAGCGUGCAGGAUGACGGCCCUAUGGGUUGUAAACUGCUUUUAUGUGGGGAUAAAGUGCGUGACGUGUCAUGCAUUGCAGGUACCACAUGAAUAAGGACCGGCUAAUUCCGUGCCAGCCGCCGCG
rnacentral:rRNA from 1 species